GUUUGGGCACUCUAAGGAGACUGCCGGUGUUAAACCGGAGGAAGGUGGGGAUGACGUCAAGUCCUCAUGGCCCUUAUGUCCAGGGCUACACACGUGCUACAAUGGCCGGUACAAAGGGCUGCAAUACCGCAAGGUGGAGCGAACCCAAAAAGCCGGUCUCAGUUCGGAUUGGAGUCUGCAACUCGACUCCAUGAAGUUGGAAUCGCUAGUAAUCGCGGAUCAGCAUGCCGCGGUGAAUACGUUCCGGGCCUU
rnacentral:rRNA from 1 species